UGACCAACCCACUGAAGCAGCCUGGA
rnacentral:piRNA from 1 species